GAGUCAACGUAUGAUAAUACGUGGCGAACGGCUCAGUAACACGUAGUCAACAUGCCCAAAGGACGUGGAUAACCUCGGGAAACUGAGGAUAAACCGCGAUAGGUCAUAAGUACUGGAAUGUUUUAUGGCUCAAAUCUACAUGGCCUCUGGAUUGGACUGCGGCCGAUCAGGCUGUUGGUGAGGUAAUGGCCCACCAAACCUGUUACCGGUACGGGCUCUGAGAGGAGGAGCCCGGAGAUGGGCACUGAGACAAGGGCCCAGGCCCUAUGGGGCGCAGCAGGCGCGAAACCUCUGCAAUAGGCGAAAGCUUGACAGGGUUACUCUGAGUGAUUCCCGCUAAGGGAAUCUUUUGGCAUCUCUAAAAACGAUGCAGAAUAAGGGGUGGGCAAGUCUGGUGUCAGCCGCCGCGGUAAUACCAGCACCCCGAGUGGUCGGGACGGUUAUUGGGCCUAAAGCAUCCGUAGCCGGUCUUGCAAGUCUUCCGUUAAAUCCACCUGCUUAACAGAUGGGCUGCGGAAGAUACUACAAGACUAGGAGGCGGGAGAGGCAAGCGGUACUCAGUGGGUAGGGGUAAAAUCCUCUGAUCCAUUGAAGACCACCAGUGGCGAAGGCGGCUUGCCAGAACGCGCUCGACGGUGAGGGAUGAAAGCUGGGGGAGCAAACCGGAUUAGAUACCCGGGUAGUCCCAGCUGUAAACGAUGCAGACUCGGUGA
rnacentral:rRNA from 1 species